rnacentral:rRNA from 1 species
AUACGGAGGGUGCGAGCGUUAAUCGGAAUUACUGGGCGUAAAGCGUGCGUAGGCGGUUUGCUAAGUCAGAUGUGAAAGCCCCGGGCUUAACCUGGGAACUGCAUUUGAUACUGGCAGACUAGAGUAUGAUAGAGGGGGGUAGAAUUCCUGGUGUAGCGGUGAAAUGCGUAGAUAUCAGGAGGAAUACCAGUGGCGAAGGCGGCCCCCUGGAUCAAUACUGACGCUGAGGUACGAAAGCGUGGGGAGCGAACAGCAUUAGAAACCCUAGUAGUCC